rnacentral:rRNA from 1 species
CCACGGGGGGCAGCAGUGGGGAAUAUUGGACAAUGGGGGGAACCCUGAUCCAGCCAUGCCGCGUGUGUGAAGAAGGCCCUCGGGUUGUAAAGCACUUUCAGUGAGGAAGAACGCCUGGUGGUUAAUACCCAUCAGGAAAGACAUCACUCACAGAAGAAGCACCGGCUAACUCCGUGCCAGCAGCCGCGGUAAUACGGAGGGUGCGAGCGUUAAUCGGAAUUACUGGGCGUAAAGCGCGCGUAGGUGGCUUGAUAAGCCGGUUGUGAAAGCCCCGGGCUCAACCUGGGAACGGCAUCCGGAACUGUCAAGCUAGAGUGCAGGAGAGGAAGGUAGAAUUCCCGGUGUAGCGGUGAAAUGCGUAGAGAUCGGGAGGAAUACCAGUGGCGAAGGCGGCCUUCUGGACUGACACUGACACUGAGGUGCGAAAGCGUGGGUAGCAAACAGGAUUAGAUACCCGAGUAGUC